UUUUUUUUUUCCUUUAAUGUGGCCAACAGAACUCCAUGCUCCAAUGGUUCUCCCACUGAGUAACUGAGGGGAGAGAUUUCCAUAAGGACUGUAAUUUGAUGUUUCCAGGAGGCUUCUAGGCACAUUUAAUUAUCACCUGACUUGCUUAAAAAACUAACUAAAAACCGAUGAGAAUGAAACAUUAGAGAAAAUGGUAAUUAUAGAUUUCUGGUAGUCUCUUUACAGUUUUUAUUACACUUCGUGUGUAUUUCUUUUUUAAAUCAGGUAAGGAAAUAAUUUUUUCAUCCAAGUUUUGGGGGGGAUUGAGCACUGUAAGGUAAACUCCAAGAUGCAGUAGCUCAACUUUUAUGCCCACAUGAGUUAAAAGAUGCGAGACGACUUCAGAAUUUUUUAAAGGAACGUUCCCAUCAUACACUGCUUUGGAUUUCGUACUGUUUUGCUUUCAGAGUUUAACCCUCUUACACAUAGUGUGCUGAAUUAAUGACAAAAUGUCAUUAGAUAAUAAACAUAAGAAAUAAACAAGAUAAUAAACAUAUUCAAAUGUCUUCCUUUGUACUGCAGUUUCCACCAAGUUCAACAGAUAUACUCAUUUAACUACAUGCUGUCAACUAGCAGUUCAACAAAGUGAUUUUAAUAACCAAGGAGUUAUCCUACACGAAAAGAAUUUAAUUUCAACUAAUGCAGAAUUUUAAUACAGAUUAAAUGUCCUUGGAAAGAAGAAAAAUUUUGACAAAUCAAAAUGUUAAUAUAAGCGAGUUUACCUUGAUUACCAGAGUUACAAAUCAAAAAAGCCAUGACAGGAUGAAUGACCAAUGACAGGGAAAUAAAGAUUAGUCAAAUGCCAUGUUGUAUUGCAAAAGGUCCAGUUGAAAUCAAACUGAAAUUUGAUGACGUUUUCAAAAUAGCCAUGAAAGAAAUGUUUUCUUUCAGCUAUCUGUCUGAUUCUAUCAGCGAUUUAAGACAAAGUUUUUAAAGUUUAACAGUGAGAUCCGUUAUACUGACCUUAAAAUCAGCUGUAUUUGUCAGGAAAGAGCCCAACUGCAUAUUAACCACCACAUGUUCAACUCCCUUUCUCUGCUUCUAGUAGCUUCUAGAGUGCAAAAUUUCAACAGCCAUUGUUAAUGGCAUUUCAGCAACUUUUAUUCCCUAUUUACACAUACAGUAAAAACACAUAUAAUUAAGAAAUAUCUUAGUGCUGAAAUAUCAUCUUACAUGGGACACUAACUGUUGAAUGAUUUUCAGCAUGUUCAACAUUGCCCUCAGGAGAUGUAUAAUAUCUAAACAGCCAGCAAGCUAGUAACCAGUUGAAACGUGUCAAACUAUGUGGUCAGUCUGAGUUGUGAGAGCAUAGUUGGUGUCCGUUGUAACCAGUUUUCCUGCAAGCUGCAUCUGCCAGUUUCUCGGAGUGGGAUGAACAAGAACAUGGUACAAACAGGUAAUCGUUAUAAAAAUGAAUCCCUUUAAAACAUAAGAUGGGAGAAAAAGGACAGUGGUACUCUUCCACCUUGACUUUGCUGAAGGGAUACAAACCCAUAAAAACGUGGCUGCAAGUACAAAAGGAACAAGGACAGUGAGAAAAAUACGUGAAAUUUGCCAAAAGCUGUCGUCUAUUUGAACGUUUUGGGUUGCGAGACCCCCUUCAGGUGACACCCAUACAAACAUCACUGCCUCUCCCCUCCCUUCUUACCUACAUUAUUUUCUAUCCUCUUACCCUGAUUUGUUUUUGUUAGAGCCCUUCUAAUACCUGAGUUACUACAUAUUUACUUCUUUAUCUGUUGGACUCAAAUGUAAAUUCUGUGAGUACAGGUAAUAAUCUGUUUGCUCUUAGACCCCUAUACCUGGAACCAUACCAGUAGCAUUUACUGAAUAAAUACUUAUGAAACAAACAAAUAAUCUUUUCCACUAACUCCUUAGCCUUGGCUCUCGCUAAUUUCUAGAAUCAGAGCAUUGGACUAAUUAAUCUCUCAGACCUUUCAGAUUCAAUGCCUUAAUUUUUUUAAAUGUUUCAAUUUAACCCUGUAGAUCAACCUUUCUAAAUUCUAAUGUGUGUCCAUGAAUUCACUUAAACAUUAAUUUCCCUACAUCACUGGUUAUGGUUAACUUUCAGAUUAAAGUGGCAACACAUUUCUCAAUUUUCCAUUUUAACAAUUCAAAUUUAUGUUUAGUUACUUAAAUUAAAAAAUAUAGUGAUUGUGCCUGUUAUCAAUUUAUUGCUUUCCACGUCCAAACCCACCCUUCAUUGCCUUGCCUUGUGAUGCUAAAGCUGGACCCUCUAAACAUUUCUUCGUCUAGGGGUGCAAUGCUAAACUUCGUCAGUAGAGGGCGAGAGAGAGGGAUACUAGUGAAGAAAAGGGAGUGUCUUCCUCCGUAUUCAGUGUGCUUUCUGGCUUCUUGCUCCUGCAGUGUCAGCCAGCUUGCGGGUCCGGGGUGGUGCGCAAUUACCUAGCAAGGUCCAGCCUCACUUCUGCAGGCAGCUUCUUAACAAGUUUAGAUGGUGUCCCAGUCAGUCUCCCUGAGGAGAGUCUGGCAGGCCCCCGGGGGCAGCUUCCAGAGGGUUCUACCUGUGCUCUAG
ensembl:lncRNA